rnacentral:lncRNA from 1 species
ACAUAGCAAACCCCUAACACAAACAAAACGCACCACUGUCGCUCCCUGCAAAACGAACCCCUCCCCGCGUCAAUCUCUCUCUCUCUCGUCGCUUCCUAGCUCUCCCGAUUUCGCGUCUCUCCCGCUGCUCUGCUCCUUAACCAUCUCAGCACCACCAUCGCUGUUAGCAAACGACAAUCAGGUAUGAAUCUAGGGUUUAUAUUUUUUCUAAUUUUGUUCAUCUCUCUAAAAAUCUCAGCCCUAACACAAACAAAACAGACCAAACUUCUCUCCUCUCCUAAUUUGGGCCCUAAAUUUGAACAAAUCCAGCCCCAAUUUUGACCUAUUUUCUUAUCUUUUGUUAGUAUUGAAUUUAAUGGUGGAAUGUAAAUUUCUAUACUUUUGUACUAGUGCCCUCUAUUCUUCAACCUCUAAACCUCCUUCCCUUGGGAAAAUGCUAAAGGUUAUAUAACAGCCGUAACAAGUAGUUGGCUAACUUGUUUUAGUAAUCAAUUCAAGUUUAUGGGUCUAAUGGUGUUUUCCACAAAAUUAAAUUUAAUUUAAAAUAAAUCUACCGUAACAGCAAGAUUAAUGCUCGGAAGGUAUAGGCACUAAUUCAGUCCAAAAAAAAGAGUUCCUCUUUUUGUCUUCUUUUAUUUACGUUAAAAAGGUGACGCAAUACUCUUCUUAAUGUUUAAUUUUUAAGACUGAAAUUUGUGAUUGAAAUAGAAUAAUAUCAAGGAUAAAGAUUAUGCCCGAGUGUGGAGUUGGUAAACAUAUUAACACGUUUAAGAAAUAUUUGGGCUUCCCUUUUUGGAAAAAGUUGGCUGUUUCAAAAUGCUUAGUUUUGGCUCUUAUGUUGAGAAGUUGAAGGAUAUUUUUGGGUCAAUUCCAAAAUGGCCAAAUUGUAUUAUUUAGAGUCAUUGUUUGCAUGUUAGUGCUUCUAUAAAAUUGAAUCAUCUUUGAAAAGGAUAUUAUGGUAAGCCCUUUCAAGGUUAUUGAUUUGUCAUUUGAUAAAAAGCCAAACUCAAUCUGACUUGAGCUACCUAAGGUUAAAUGUACUUUAUUUCUGCCUGCUACAUUAUUUCUAUUCAGUGUGGACUUAAUCAUUCUUUUAAAUUUAUUCUCAGGGAACUGUUGUUUAUUAUGGAUGCCAUGAACCAUGAAAUAGAUAGUUGUGGGGAUAAUGCAGAAAUGAAUUUAGACUGCAUUUAUAAUUUUGAAAUGGAGAUGGAGAGGGAUGACUUGAGUGAAGAGGGGUUGGAUGUGAACAAUGUUACAACUGUUGUGUACUAUCCUAAAGUAGCGGAUGAGUUUACGCUUAAGCUAGGUCAAGAAUUUCAAACAUUAGACGACGUUCACACUUUUUACAAUACAUAUGCAAUGCACACUGGUUUUAGUGUGCGAAAGCAUACUGAGAAAAAAAGGAGAGAAGUGGUGAGAUUGUAAGGAAGGAGUAUGUGUGUUAUAAACAAGGAAAGGGCAAACUAUUAGCCAAUGUGGAUGCAAAAAGAAAACGUGGAUCUACCAAAGAAGGUUGUACUGCAAGAAUUGUAGUGAUUAAAAGAAAUGACUUGUACGUAGUUACCAUAACUGAAGAGGGCCAUUGUCACCCAUCGUCAACCCCACAUAAGAGACAUAUUUUACGAUCGCACUGUAAUGUGUUAGCUCCCAAAAAAUAUUUGAGUCAGCAACUUGGCAUGGUGAAUAUACCACAAUGCCAACGAUACAACUUUCUUGCAGUACACGCGGGAGAGAUUGAAAAUAUUGGUUGCACUCAACGAGAUUUGUAAACCUUUGAAAGAGACAAUCGUAAUGAGCUGAAGGGACAAGAUGACGAUAUGUUGAAUGAGUAAUUGAAGUUAGAACAACAAAAGAUUCCUUCAUUCACUUUUACAAUUGACACAGACGAUGAAAAAAAGGAUUACUCGUUGUUUUUGGGCCGCUGCAACUUCUAGACGGGCUUAUAGUUUUUACGACGAUGUAGUCAUUUUUGAUACCACGUACAACACUAAUUGUUACGGAAUGAUAUUUGCACCACUAAUGGGGGUUAAUAACCAUGGUCAAACUAUUGUAUUUGAUUAUGCUUUCUUAAGUGAUGAGACCAUAGAUACUUAUGCUUGGCUUUUCAAAUGUUUUUUGGAUGCAAUGCAGGUGAUGCACCUAAGAUGAUUAUCACUGAUCUGGAUCCGGCUAUGACAAAUGCCAUUUAACAUAUCCUUCCUAAGACAGUUCAUAGGUAUUGUAGUUGGCACAUUUUGACCAAAUUUUCAGAGAAGAUUGACUCCGUAAAAUUCAGUGCUUAUUAUAAAGAGUUUUCAGAUUGCAUUUGGAAUUCAGAGACUGUGGAAAAGUUUGACUCCACUUGGGUGGAGUUGUUGGAGAAAAGUGGGUUGACUACUAAUAAAUGGCUACAAUCAAUGUAUGACAUCCGUUGUAUAUGGGUACCCGCACAUGUGAAUCAUAUUUUCUCAGUCGACAUGUCAAGUAGCCAACGAGCGAAGAGUUUUCAUGCGUUUUUUAAAAGAUUUUUUCUAAAUGAAAUUCAUUAGUGGAUUUUUAUGAUUCAAUUUGGUCAAGGCCUUCAACAUCAACGACAUGUAGAGUUGGAAUCCGAUAACAAAGAUUUGAUUGAGAGACCGAGAAUAAAAAUUGCCAAUCACUUCUUAAGUCAAAUGGUUGACAUUUAUGCAUACUCUACAUAUUAUAAAUUGGAAGAUGAGUUCUGUGAGACCUUGAAUUAUAAGUUUGAACUUAUAAAGGAGGAUGUCAACUACCAUGUAUAUAAGAUUUUCCAAAGGAAUGACAACAAGUGUAAUGUAAGAGAAAUUCAUUAUGACAAAUCUUGGGAUUAUGCAACAUGCACUUGCAAAAAGUUUGAGAGUUUGGGAAUCCUAUGUCGGCAUGUACUUGCUUACUUGAAUAAGUAUCAUGAUCUUGACAAGUUGCCUACAAAAUAUAUUUUAAAGAGGUGGACAAAGACAUCAAAAUCAAGUCGUGUAAUUGAUGAUAAUGGUGUGACGAUAAAAGAUGACAAGUCAUACUUACUCUUGCAGAGUCAAUUGAUUCAACGUUCUUUAGAUUUGAUUGACAGUGCUCUCACAAAUGAAGAAGCCAUAAAUGUAUUAAAAGAAUGUCUAAAUAAUGGAUAUGAUAAGAUUAAGCAAAUUAUUGGAAAGAAUGAUUCCAAAAGAAACAAUGAAAUGGAGUGUGGUGGAAUUAGUGUAUCCAAGUCAGUUAACAUGACUUUUACUUAUGAACAUAGUUACAUUAAGCCGAACCACGUGCGAGCAAAAGGGUCUGGCAAAAGGCUGAAGGGUGGCAAAGAAAGUGCUUUGGGGAAAGCUAAAAGUGCCAAGACUAGACGUUGUCAUGCAUGUGGCAAAGUUGGUGUGACACACGAUAAAAGAAACUGUCCGAAGCUUAAUAAUCUGUAAGCAAGUUUACUUAUUUUAAAAUUUGUUGAAUAAUUUAUUUAAAAUUUCCUUCGGUAUUUGUUUAAAUUUGACUUUGCUAUUUGUUUAAAUGUAGAAUUGGAAUAUCAAAUGAUGAUGCUACUCAGGAUCCAUGUAAGACCCCCAAUUUUAUGAAUAAAGAUUAUUUUUCUCAAAAUAUUUUUUUGAAUAUUAAGGUGUGGAUUUGAUAUAAUGUCAUAGUUGUGGGUAAUAUUUACAAAUUUUGCAAAGUAAGCAAGUUGUUAUAAAAUAUUCUUUUCGUCGGGGAAUAUUCGUACGACGGCACAAUCAUUGGUGGACCCCACAACGGAAUUAUUGUCAGAGUUAGAAAAUGACAGAAAUAUCUUUUUAUGAAAAUAACGGUGGAAGUUUUACCGUUAACUGUUGAAAUACCCGGUGAUAAAAAUACAGUAAUACACGUGGUUGCAUAGUAGCACACGGUAUUGAUUAUUGAUGCUUACGUGAGAAGUCACUCAGUUUAUUUUAAUUAUUGCUACAGUAAUUGUUGCAUAGUAUCUCACGUUAUUUGAUUCAAUUAUUGUUACAAUAUUUUAUAUUAUUAAAUCAAUAAUUGAGAUAACAAGUUAUUCAUAUUAUUAUCUACAUAAUUAAUAAUGUCUAGAAAGUUCUGUCGAGAAAAGGGGUUUGGUCACCUAAUUGCGCGCUAAUAGGGAGAAAUCCUUAUCGGAAAGCCCCUCUUUCCUCAGAACGAUCUGGUUGUUAAUAUUGCGAGUUAUAAUAAUGAUGAAUAAAUAUUGUUAAAAAUAUUGAGGGGAUUUUUAUGAAGUAUUUGUUGUAAAUUUUGCUUAUUAAAUGGAACCCCUCUUAUCCAUUUUUCAAAAUAAUCGGUAGAAAGUUAUUCAUAUAAUAAGGGUGGGGACCACAUGUGGGGGCCAUAUGUGGGGCCCACGUGUAGAAAAAAUGAAGUUGGGAGGAAAGUUUGUAGGCACGGGUGGUUUGUUUGUUAUGUAUAUAUAUACGGUCCGAAUCUUAAGCUCACCCCUUAUCCAACUCACCCAAGCUCACCCCCCUUUAGCGACGGACCUGGCGACGGUUCGGUCAUACAAUCGUCGUCUAUAUAUAUAUAUAAUAUAUAUAUAUAUAUAUUAUAAUAAGUUUUGUUUUAUAUGAAAAAUAAAAUAUAUUAUAUUUUAUUAUGCAUAGUGUUUGCAUAGUAACUUAGAAAAUUAAAAUUUUCACGUGGAUUCGCCGGUGCGCGCCUGUGAACUCUUCCCCUACUGUGCAUUCAAAUAGUAUCCUUUCCAUUCUUCUAUAAAUAGGAUGUUAGUUAGAAUUGAAAAUCACACCAGAAUCAGAGAAUACUUCUUCUAUAAUAUUGAGCGUAUUUCUUUAAAGUUUUAGGAAGCUUUGAAUGUAGAAAAUAGUAAAAGUUUUCUUCAAGAAUAUAUCUGCUAUACCAGUCGGAAUUGCUCUCUUUUUGAGGUAAGGGGUAUUAUUUAUUUCAUAUUCGCUUACGAUAUUAUUUUUCGUAUUCGUAAGAAAUUUUAUUUUGUUUCAUAUUCACAAGAAAUAUUAUCUUCGUUUAAUAUUCGUAAGGAAUAUUAUCUUCGUUCAAUAUUCGUAAGGAAUAUUAUUUUCGUUCAAAAGUUGUAAGGGAUAUUAUUUUUGUUCAAUACUCGUAAGAAAUAAUAUUUUCUUCCAUACUCUGUAGUAUGUGAGUAAUAUUAUUUCAUUUCAGAUUCUGAAUUCUAUACUCAUUUUGUUAAGUUUUGGCUUCUAUAAUCCAUAAAAUUAGUAGAAUAUCUUUGAUAUUUGCGCUUCAUCCAAUAUCUUUUCAUGGAAAUAUUAUUUUGAGCAUUCUUGAUAAGUUUUAACUUUUCUAUGUCGGAGUACUAUUUAUGGGGUACUAUUCCUGAAGUACUAUUUAUUAUAAAAAUUGAUUUCUUUUCGGUCCAAAUUAUUUUUGAUACAUUAUUAUUCUUGAAUUUUACUCCACAAAGUAGUAUCAUGUUGACAAUUUAGAUAUUUUUGAAUUCUGGAUAAAUUAAAUUAUAAAAUUUUUAAUAUUUAUCCUUGAUCUCGUUUGAUUGAAUCUUUAUAUCAUUGUCAUCAUCUUCAUGCUUAUAUUGUGAUAAAAGUCAUCUUUGGCCAAGGGUGCAAAGAUGAACUGUUGAUUGGUAUGAUUAUGACCAGGGAUUAUUCAGUGUAAUCAUGACCUGUAAUGUUACAAGUGAUGUGGAUUAUUAAGCUGAGUCUUAAUGACAGUUGUUGGUAUGAUCAUGACCAUGCAUUCUCUUCGGCCAAAGGUGCAAAGAUGAAUUGUUGUUUGGCAUGUUCAUGACCAUUGGUGAAAACACGAAUAUCCUUGGCCUGUAGUGCAUGGAUAAUUCAGUGAUGUGGAUUAUUUAUUAAAGCUGAGUCUUAGCGAUAAAAUUGAUGAUAAACUUUAAAAUCAUAGAAGAUAGUAGAUAUCAUGCUCUACUUGACUCUUCUAAUGGAUUGCUUAUUCCGCUGCAGUUGUUGAUCUAAAAUAUGUUGUCUAUUGUAUUCUAUCAGUUGUUAUACUGUUGAAGGCUAAGGAUAAUUUAUUCUAAAUUAUCUUAGUCAUAAUAUUUCUUACUAGGCUAGUUGAGCUUACCAUUUUCUUUCGUUGUUCUCUUCAGGAAAUAAGAAUAUAGCUGGGACGAGUCGGGGAAUGGAUUGACGGUCCAGGAUAAGUGGCUAUAGUAGUCCUCACUAUUCUAUGAAAUAGUGUGAUAAUAAUUGUAAUGAGGACUCCAUUGAGUGUGGAUAUUAUCUAAAAGACAAUAUUCGUGUUAAAACUCUCAGCUACGCUUUUGUCGUAUUGUAUAAAUUAAGUUUGUAUUUAAGUUCUGUACCAUAUAUUUGGUGACUCAGAAUGAGUGAUGUAUACCUAUUUUGGGUGCGUCACAGUUGAUAUCAAAGCUUAAGGAUAUGAUCCCUGGCUGAAAUGUGAGACUAGAACUAGGAGGGGAGAGACGGGUAAUUCCUUCGCUAGUAUGACCUACCUAAGUUUAUUUGUUAUUUAAUUGGUUGGUCAGAGUAUAGGGAUAAUAUGUGAUAUGUCAAUUAACCCUUGUUUUGUGAUAGUGUUUGAAAAUGGCAUUUGAAAAUGUUGAGAUAAGCAAUGAAGCACAUGAGACCGUUGAGUCACCAACGAUCAAUACCCAGAUAAUGUGCAUCAGGAAGGCAAUAAUCCUCAGGUAAACAACAAUACCGACCAGAUGAUGAACGAUGGGAUGUUAAGAGGCUUUAUGCAAUUCAUGAAACAUCAGGCGAGAGAGACUCCUAUUUAAAAUGCAGGUGGAAACAUUAGCAAAUCUCGGAUGGUCACUGCUAAGCAGUUCAAGGAGCUGGAACCACCGAAGUUUUUGGGAAAGCCAGAACCACUUAAGGCAGAGACGUGGAUAAAGAAGAUCACCAAGAUAUUUGAUGUCUUGGAAUGCUCAGAGGAGCAAAAGGUUCCUUUUGCCACCUUUAUGUUGCGUGAAGAGGCAAAUUACUGUUGGGAAUCUGUAAAUCGUACCCAGCCUGACGCACUCAAGAUGUCUUGGGAGAAGUCAAGAAUUGUUCAACGAUAAGUACUUUCCCGAAAGUAUUGGUCACAUGAAGGAGGUGGAAUUCAUUAAGCUGGAGCAAAACAAUAUAACCGCAUCACAGUACGAGGCUAAGUUUACAGAGUUGUCCCGAUUUGCAUCUAAUUUGGUUGGUAAUGAGGAGCGAAUGACACGAAUGUUUCUACGAGGUUUAAAACCCGAAAUACGUCAAUACCUCAUUCUCACAAACUUUGCUUGUAUUCAGAUGUUGUGAAUAGGGCUCAAUUAUUGAAACGCGAUAAUGAGACAACCCAACCAAGAGAGAGCAGCCGAUAAAUUGACAAUACCAGUGGUAGCAGUCAUUAAAGCGGUGAAAACAAAUGUGGAAGGAAUCAAUAUGCCAGAAAUGGUAACCACUUCGGUGGUAAUCAUGGUCAGGAUAAUAGGAAAGGUGAACUAAGUGAGAACAACUUCAAGAAGAGAAGGUUCAAUAAUGAUGGAAAGACAGCGGCACUCGUUUCCAAGGAAGGAGAACGACCACCGGUCGUAUGUUUCAAAUGCGGACAGGAGGGACACAUCCAUCCAAAUUGUACGCAGCAACCCAAAGCGUGUUUAAAUUACGAAAGAGAAGGUCACCUAGCUCGAUUUUGUCGUGUAGUGAAGUCAAGUCCAGCUGGGAUGGUGACGCCAAAGGAUGUCCCAAACAAGUCAAAGCCGGUAGUUUAAGUGAGAGCGUUUGUCGAGAAACCCGAAUGAAGUUAUAACGGGUAAGUUAAUCAUAAACUCUUGCGAAGUCUAUACCUUAUUCGAUACCAGUUCUACCCACUCUUUUAUUUCUCCUACUUGCGCUCAACAUUUAAAUUUAACUUCGAAGAAAUUAGACCUUGAAUUAUCUGUUGAAACUCUGUUAAGAGAAACCUUCGUUACAUCCACUGUUUAUAAAUCUUGUUUGAUUCAAAUCAUCACCCUCACGUUACCUGUUGAUCGUAUCUCUUUGAAAAUAUUUGUCAUUGAUGUGAUUUUAGAAAUCGACUGGUUAACAACUCAUCAUGCUAAAAUUGAUUAUUUUCAUAAGGUUGUUAGUUUUUAUAUUCCUAACCAACCUGUUAUGCGAAUUCAAGCAACCAAACCACUAAAGUCAAUCAUUAUCAUAUUAAGCCAUAAGUAAAGAGCCCCAAACCUUUCGCUGGUGAUUUUCAAGUCUUAGAAUGCACCGAAGCCAGACUUUCCGUAGGGGACGCCGUGAAUAACGGUGGCAAGUUGAUAUGUGUCAAUGUGACGUGCUAUCCAAGUCUUGGAUGAGAGUCAUAGUUUUGAAUUAUAUUUCUAUUGUUAAUAAAUUUCCUGACAUAUUCCCUGAAGACUUCCUGACCUACCCACAGAGCUUGAAAUCGAAUUUUGUAUUAACCUUGAACCCAGUACAAAACCCUCAAAUAUUUUUUUCACCCAAAACGAACGUAACAUGCGCCAAAGAUGUUGGCUCGAGCUGUUGAAGAUUACGACCAUACCAUUCAAUAACAUUGUGGAAGAGCGAACGUGGUAGCUGACGCAUUGAGUAGAAGAUCGUACGCAGUUAUGAGUGCAACGUUGUUAACACAAAGACCCAUUUCGUACGAUUUACAAAAGAUGGAGAUAGAGUUAAGGACUCCAAGAACCUACGUGAAGAUAGUGACUCUACGAUUACAACCAACUUUAAUCGAUAAAGUUAAAGCCGCUCAAGCUACAGACUCAGAGAUGAUGAAUUUGAAGAAGAAGGUUCAAGAAGGCGUUAUUCUAGAAGCAAGAAUCGAUGAAGAGAGGAAAUCUCAACCCUCGAUUUUAUUGGUCCAUUUGAAAUCCUCGAUUGAGUAGGAACUGUGGCCUAUAGACUUGCCUUACCGUUAAGUAUGUCGCGUAUUCAUAAUAUUUUUCACGUAUCAAUGUUACGUAAAUAUGUGGAUGACCCAAACCAUAUUAUUGAAUUAGAACUAGAUGAGAGAGCAGAAGAUUUAACGGAUGAGGAGAUACAAUCUUGGAUAAGAAGAAACAUAUUCUACACUCAAAGGUUAUACCUUAAGAGUUAGAAUCUGAAAUGAAAUCAAGGUAUUCUCAUCUCUUCGACAUACCAGGUACGUACGUCAAUUUUGAGGAUAAAAUUUCAUAAGAAGGGGAGGUUGUAAGACCCCAAAUUUUAUGAAUAAAGAUUAUUUUUCUCGAAAUAUUUUUUUAAAUAUUAAGGUGUGGAUUUGAUAUAAUGUCAUAGUUGUGGGUAAUAUUUACAAAUUUUACAAAGUAAGCAAGUUGUUAUAUAAUAUUUUUUUUGUCGGGGAAUAUUCGUACGACGGCACAAUCAUUGGUGGACCCCACAACGGAAUUAUUGUCAGAGUUAGAAAACGAUAGAAAUAUCUUUUUAUGAAAAUAACGACGAAAGUUUUACCGUUAACUGUUGAAAUACCCGGUGAUAAAAGUAUAGUAAUACGCGUGGUUGCAUAGUAGUACACUGUAUUGAUUAUUGAUGCUUACGGGAGAAGUCACUCAGUUUAUUUUAAUUAUUGCUACAGUAAUUGCUGUAUAGUAUCUCACGUUAUUUGAUUCAAUUAUUGUUAUAAUAUUUUAUAUUAUUAAAUCAAUAAUUGAGAUAACAAAUUAUUCAUAUUAUUUUUCUGCAUAAUUAACAAUGUCUAGAAAGUUCUGUCGAGGAAAGGGGUUUGGUCACCUAAUUGCGCGCCAAUAGGGAGAAAUCCUUAUUGGAAAGCCCCCACUUUUCUAGGAACGAUCUGGUUGUUAAUAUUGCGUGUUAUAAUAAUGAUGAAUAAAUGUUGUUAAAAAUAUUGAGGGGAUUUUUAUGAAGUAUUUAUUAUAAAUUUUGCUUAUUAUAUGGACCCCCACUUACCCAUUUUUCAAAAUAAUCGAUAGAAAGUUAUUCAUAUAAUAAAAGUGGGGACCACAUGUGGGGCCCACGUGUAGAAAAAAUGAAGUUUGGAGGAAAUUUUGCAGGCACGGGUGGUUUGUUAUAUAUAUAUAUAUAUAUAUAUUAUAAUAAGUUUUGUUUUAUAUGAAAAAUAGAAUAUAUAUAUAUAUAUAUUUUAUUAUGCAUAGUGUUUGCAUAGUAACUCAGAAAAUUAAAAUUUUUACGUCAAUUCGUCGGUGCGCGCCCGUGAACUCCUCCCCUACUGUGCAUUCCAAUAGUAUCCUUUUCAUUCUCCUAUAAAUAGGAUGCUUAGUUAGAAUUAAAAAUCACACCAGAAUCAGAGAAUUCUUCUUCUAUAAUAUUGAGCGUAUUUCUUUGGAGUUUAAGGAAGUUUUGAGUGUAGAAAAUAGUGAAAGUUUUCUUCAAGAAUAUAUCCGCUAUACCAGUUGGAAUUGCUCUCUUUUUGAGGUAAGGGGUAUUAUUUAUUUCAUAUUCGCUUACGAUAUUAGUUUUCGUAUUCGUAAGAAAUUUUAUUUCGUUUCAUAUUCACAAGAAAUAUUAUUUUCGUUUAAUAUUUGUAAGGAAUAUUAUCUUCAUUCAAUAUUCGUAAGGAAUAUUAUUUUCGUUCAAACGUUGUAAGGAAUAUUAUUUUUGUUCAAUACUCGUAAGAAAUAAUAUUUUCUUCCAUACUCUGUAGUAUGUGAGUAAUAUUAUUUCAUUUCAGAUUUCGAAUUCUAUACUCAUUUUGUUAAGUUUUGGCUUCUAUACUCCAUGAAAUUAGUAAAAAAUUCUUGAUAUUUGCGCUUCAUCCAAUAUCUUUUCAUGAAAAUAUUAUUCUGAGCAUUCUUGAUAAGUUUUAACUUUUUUAUGCUGGAGUACUAUUUACGGGGUACUAUUCACGGGGUACUAUUCACUCAGUUACUAUUCACCCAGGGUACUAUUCAUGACAAAAAUUGAUUUCUCUUCGGUCCAAAUCAUUUUUGAUACAUUAUUAUUCUUGAAUUUUACUCCACAAAGCAGUAUCAUGUUGAUAAUUUAGAUAUUCUUGAAUUCUGGAUAAAUUAAAUUAUAAAAUUUUUAAUAUUUAUCCUUGAUCUCGUUUAAUUGAAUCUUUAUAUCAUUGUCAUCAUCCUCAUGUUUAUAUUGUGAUAAAAGUCAUCUUUGGCCAAGGGUGCAAAGAUGAACUGUUGAUUGGUAUGAUUAUGACCAGGGAUUAUUCAGUGUAAUCAUGACCUGUAAUGUUACAAGUGAUGUGGAUUAUUAAGCUGAGUCUUAAUGACAGUUGUUGGUAUGAUCAUGACCAUGCAUUCUCUUCGGCCAAAGGUGCAAAGAUGAAUUGUUGUUUGGCAUGUUCAUGACCAUUGGUGAAAACACGAAUAUCCUUGGCCUGUAGUGCAUGGAUAAUUCGUGGUCGUGAUACUAAUGAAUAUCCUUGGCCCAUAGUGCAUGGAUAAUUCAGUGAUGUGGAUUAUUUAUUAAAGCUGAGUCUUAGCGAUAAAAUUGAUGAUAAACUUUAAAAUCAUAGAAGAUAGUAGAUAUCAUGCUCUACUUGACUCUUCUAAUGGAUUGCUUAUUCCGCUGCAGUUGUUGAUCUAAAACUUGUUAUCUAUUGUAUUCUAUCAGUUGUUAAACUGUUGAUGGCUAAGGAUAAUUUAUUCUGCAUUAUCUUAGUCAUAAUAUUUACUACUGGGCUAGUUGAGCUCACCCUUUUCUUUUGCUGUUCUCUUCAGGAAAUAAGAAUAUAGCUGGGAUGAGUCGGGAAAUGGAUUGACGGUCCAGGAUAAGUGGCUAUAGUAGUCCUCACUAUUCUAUGAAAUAGUGUGAUAAUAAUUGUGAUGAGGACUUCAUUGAGUGUGGAUAUUGUCUAGAAGACAAUAUUCGUGUUAAAACUCUCAGCUACGCUUUUGUCGUAUUGUAUAAAUUAAGUUUGUAUCUAAGUUCUGUACCAUGUAUUUGAUGAGUGAUGUAUACCUAUUUUGGGGGCGUCACAAUACAGGUGUAGAUAAUGAUGAUAUUAAUUCACCCCCAGUUGCAACUGAGAUUGCUAUAAUGACUCAGUAAAUCAACAUUUCUGUGGUAAUGAUAAUACUCAUUUGUUCAAACUAUUUUUUUUGUUCGUCACUGCAAUAUGUUUAUUCUUCCUUUAUAUAUCCAUUCAUGAUGUGCAUUUGUGGUGCAUGUGGCAUCCUACUUGCAGUAGCAGAUUGAUGGUUUUGACAGGUCUGUUUAUGCAGCAAUCCUUUUUGGCUUGUAUGGCAGGACAAAGUUCGCUAUUUCAUCGAAGAGGUACACUUUCUCUUCUAAAAUUCAACCCAAAGUAACCAGCUAAAUAUGAAAGCAAUCAACAUUUCCUUAUAAUUGGCACCCAAAUCUUUGAUUAAAAUAUCAAUGUAUUUUAUUCUUGAUUUUGUUUGUAACUGGUUGCAGUUGUUGGCUUUGGAAAGAAGAGGGGACCUAACUCAUAUGAGAAGUAGUAAAAAGCUUGAGGAAUCAUGUCUAGUUUUGUAGGUGAAGACUUGUGGGUUAUUAAGUUGAAUCGAUACAUUUUCACUUUUAUGGUGAUUUCAGACUUCCUAUGUUUCUGUUUUGACGGACCAUGUUCAAUUUAUUAUCACUUUAUUGGCUACUCUGAAUGUAAUGGAAUUUGUGGCUUUCCAGUGCUAAAUGAUUUCAAUGCAUGAAACUAGAAUUAAACUUCAAUAUCUUGAGUACACCUAGUUCAAUGUAAUGGAAUUCGGUCAUCUGAUGCUUGUUGAGUAGCUAUAAUGUAGCUGAAAAUAAGAGAUGAGAUAUGAUGGGAUAUUAUGGGACUAUGUGUGGUGGAACUUUAGAAAUACUAUUUGAUAUUUGAUAUUUGAUAGUAGAAGAACUGUAUCUAUCUAUCUAUAUUUAUUUCUUGUAACCAAUUAGAUCAAAGUGCUAAGGCCAUGGUGCAAAGCAGAUUCACUUGCACCAACUUUAUACUUGAUUAAAGUUCAUAGAAGCAAUAACUUUUAUAGUUAUUUUUGCACGAAAUAUAUCAUUUGCACCCAAAUUCCAUGUAUAUUUGCU